rnacentral:lncRNA from 1 species
AAACUUUUCUUUUCGAAUUUUCCAAAUUUUUUUCUCUAGUUCCUUAGAAAAAGACGCAUCAUUUUUCUUAUGCCGGUGGCUUUUGGCGCAUUGAUAGACUACAUUGGAGAAGAUCGUGGUUUUCACUAAAUUCUUGAAAGUUCAAGUGCCAUUAAAAAAUGUUUUAUAAUGCAGAAAAUGCGAACUUGAAGUUCUAAUUUUUGUUUCAUAGCCGUAAUCUUAGCUCUAUUUCUUGAGAGCUGUAUACUUUUAGACCAAGUUUUAGGUCUUAGAAUUUGGUUUUCACAAGAAUGGCAAAUAAAUUGUUCAAACCUUUCUACAUGGGAAAAAAGAAGAGCAACAAUAUUUGCUGAGAGAAGGAAAAAAGAAUUUUGUAUAGUAAUAAAGCAUAAUCUCGUGACCAAAUAAUUAUAAUUUAUAUAAUGUUGUUUUUGUAUUCAUUCCUGUGAAGUCUUGAGUAGCGUUUUGUUGACCAUGCACAAGUGCAGGACACUGUAAUUGUGCAUAGUUAGAGGGAUUUCAUUGUGUAGAAUCAACUAUCAAGUUGCUGAACCAUCAUUACCUACAUGUUUUGACAUAUGGCACAUGGUUGUGCUUGCUCUACUACCGUAUAAGUUGGGCUCGUAUUUUGUUAGUUCAGUCGAUUUACGACCCAUAUUUCAAGCUCAAGAUUUUCCUUUUGUUUUUGCAGUGCCUUUCCUGUUCUAUUCAGCUUAGGUUCGAGUUAAAGAUUCUGUUAGUGAACAAAUGGAAAGGUAUAUAUACCAUUUUCAACCUUCUUGUUUAGUUUAUAUUUUGUGGCACUCUGUUGAAGUUGAAGAAUUGAACUCUUCGCUUGAAGAACUUCCAAGUUUUAGUUCAAUUCUGUCUCAAAAAGUAUUUGUAAAACAUGUGCUGCAAUUUUUUUCACAAAUAUGAAGAAAUUCAGGAAGAUAAUGUCCAAUUACUCAAAAAAUUUCAUUAUCAUCAUGUUGUUUACUUCCUACUUCUCAUGGCUGGUACAUAUUCCAAUGUAUACGAUACUGAAAAUAUGAUAGGACACUUGCAGGUUGUGAAUUCGUGUUGAUGAUGGAGGAGACUUCUGAGACGGGGUCUUCUUUGCUUCAAGUUUUUGAAUAUUUCUUCGGGCGAAGUGACUUCACAGUAAGCUCAAGUAAUCCAUCACAUUCAACAGCAUGACAUUUUGAUUCUUCAAACUAAAUGUAUAUGCAUUCGUUAGAUGGAAUGCCAUCUUCCAAAAACAAACAUAUCGUCGAAUAAACCAAUCAAUGUAACUUCCCUUCAAAACAUGAAUUUACAAGAGAACCUCAGACGUCGCAUGUUUAAUGUCUUACACUUAGCCUUCUCCUAUGUCGUGUUUAUUUAUCGAAUGUUUUUCCCCAUAGAUUCGUGCUCUGAGGAGUAUGCUAAUUUCUGCUUCCCUUCCGGUUAUUCCUGGUGUUCUUACAAUUCAUCCUGCGAGACACAAGAACGAAACAUUCUAGUAUCCAUGUGCGUGUGUUUUAUUCUGAUGCAUUUAUGUAAUGGAAUCAACACUGCAGAAACAUAAUGCAACAUGUAACAGUCAAUUGCUUCUUAGCAAUAAUAUAAUAUUUGGCGCCUGUUUGUGCCAAAUUGUUGCCUCAUUAAAAUGAGUUUUCCGACCGUUUGCUUCAACUGGUGGGUCCCGACACUGCAAUUUAUUUCAAAGUUGGCAGACAAAUGAAUUUGUAAUUUCCAG